GCAUAUCAAUAAGCGGAGGAAAAGAAACUAACAAGGAUUCCCCUAGUAACUGCGAGUGAAGCGGGAAAAGCUCAAAUUUAAAAUCUGGCGGUCUUUGGCCGUCCGAGUUGUAGUCUGGAGAAGUGCUUUCCGCGCUGGACCGUGUAUAAGUCUCUUGGAACAGAGCGUCAUAGAGGGUGAGAAUCCCGUCUUUGACACGGACUACCAGUGCUUUGUGAUGCGCUCUCAAAGAGUCGAGUUGUUUGGGAAUGCAGCUCAAAAUGGGUGGUGAAUUCCAUCUAAAGCUAAAUAUUGGCGAGAGACCGAUAGCGAACAAGUACCGUGAGGGAAAGAUGAAAAGCACUUUGGAAAGAGAGUUAAACAGUACGUGAAAUUGCUGAAAGGGAAACGCUUGAAGUCAGUCGCGUUGUCCGGAACUCAGCCUUGCUUUUGCUUGGUGCACUUUCCGGAUGACGGGUCAGCAUCGAUUUUGACCGUCGGAAAAGGGCUGGAGUAAUGUGGCACCUCCGGGUGUGUUAUAGACUCUGGUCGCAUACGGCGGUUGGGAUCGAGGAAUCGCAGCGCGCCGCAAGGCAGGGGUUCGCCCACUUUCGCGCUUAGGAUGCUGGCAUAAUGGCUUUAAACGACCCGUCUUGAAACACGGACC
rnacentral:rRNA from 1 species